rnacentral:tRNA from 1 species
GAGCUUGUCCGGGCAAACAAGAGCUGCUAACUUAUGAUCCCAUGGUUCAACUCCAUGGCUCGCUCA